AAGCGGAGGACAAGAAACCAACAGGGAUUGCCUCAGUAACGGCGAGUGAAGCGGCAACAGCUCAGAUUUGAAAUCUGGCCUCCUUCCGGGGGUCCGAGUUGUAGUCUGCAGAGGAUGCUUCUGGUGCGGCCGGGCCCAAGUCCCUUGGAACAGGGCGUCAGAGAGGGUGAGAGCCCCGUCUGUGGCCCGGUGUCUGCUCAGUUGUAAGCUCCUUCGACGAGUCGAGUUGUUUGGGAAUGCAGCUCCAAGCGGGUGGUAAAUCUCAUCUAAAGCUAAAUACCAGCCGGAGACCGAUAGCGCACAAGUAGAGUGAUCGAAAGAUGAAAAGCACUUUGGAAAGAGAGUCAAACAGCACGUGAAAUUGUUGAAAGGGAAGCGCUCGCGACCAGACCCGGCCGCGGCCGAUCCGCCGACGUUCUCGUCGGCCAACUCGGCCGGGGCUGGGCCAGCAUCGGCUCGGGGGGUGGAAUGAAGGCGCGGGGAAUGUAGCUCCCUUCGGGGUGUGUUAUAGCCCGGCGUCACACGCCAUCCUCCCGGGUCGAGGCCCGCGCUCCGGCAAGGAUGCUGGCGUAAUGGUCGUCAGCGACCCGUCUUGAAACACGGACCAAGGAGUCUAACAUCCACGCGAGUGUUUGGGCGUCAAACCCAAGCGCGCAAUGAAAGUAAACGGAGGUGGGAGCCCCCGGGCGCACCAUCGACCGAUCCGGAUGUCAUCGGAUGGAUUUGAGUACGAGCGUGGCUGUUGGGACCCGAAAGAUGGUGAACUAUGCUUGGAUAGGGUGAAGCCAGAGGAAACUCUGGUGGAGGCUCGCAGCGGUUCUGACGUGCAAAUCGAUCGUCAAAUCUGUGCAUAGGGGCGAAAGACUAAUCGAACCAUCUAGUAGCUGGUUCCUGCCGAAGUUUCCCUCAGGAUAGCAGUAACGAGAGCAGUUUUAUGAGGUAAAGCGAAUGAUUAGAGGCCUUGGGGUUGAAACAACCUUAACCUAUUCUCAAACUUUAAAUGUGUAAGAAGUCCUUGUUGCUUAGUUGAACGUGGACACUCGAAUGCACCGUUACUAGUGGGCCAUUUUUGGUAAGCAGAACUGGCGAUGCGGGAUGAACCGAACGCGGGGUUAAGGUGCCGGAAUGCACGCUCAUCAGACACCACAAAAGGUGUUGGUUCAUCCAGACAGCAGGACGGUGGCCAUGGAAGUCGGAAUCCGCUAAGGAGUGUGUAACAACUCACCUGCCGAAUGAACUAGCCCUGAAAAUGGAUGGCGCUCAAGCGUGCUACCCAUACCCCGCCGCCAGGGUAGGAACGAUGCCCUGGCGAGUAGGCAGGCGUGGGGGCCCGUGACGAAGCCUUGGGAGUGAUCCCGGGUCGAACGGCCCC
rnacentral:rRNA from 1 species